UACGUAGGGUGCAAGCGUUAAUCGGAAUUACUGGGCGUAAAGCGUGCGCAGGCGGCUAUGCAAGACAGAUGUGAAAUCCCCGGGCUCAACCUGGGAACUGCAUCUGUGACUGCAUGGCUAGAGUACGGCAGAGGGGGAUGGAAUUCCGCGUGUAGCAGUGAAAUGCGUAGAUAUGCGGAGGAACACCGAUGGCGAAGGCAAUCCCCUGGGCCUGUACUGACGCUCAUGCACGAAAGCGUGGGGAGCAAACAGG
rnacentral:rRNA from 1 species